GAUGAACGCUUGCGGCAGGCUUAACACAUGCAAGUCGAGGGGUUUUAUGGAGCUUGCUCUAUAGAACGGCCGGCGCACGGGUGCGUAACACGUAUGCAACCUACCUUCUACUGACGGAUAGCCCGGAGAAAUCUGAAUUAAUACGUCAUGGUUUCAUUGAAUCGCAUGGUUUAAUGAAUAAAGAAAUUCGGUAGAAGAUGGGCAUGCGUCCCAUUAGAUAGUUGGCGGGGUAACGGCCCACCAAGUCGAUGAUGGGUAGGGGGCCUGAGAGGGUAGUCCCCCACACUGGUACUGAGACACGGACCAGACUCCUACGGGAGGCAGCAGUGAGGAAUAUUGGUCAAUGGACGCAAGUCUGAACCAGCCAUGCCGCGUGCAGGAAGAAUGUCCUAUGGAUUGUAAACUGCUUUUUUACGGGAAUAAAUGUAUUUACGCGUAGAUACUUGAAGGUACUGUAAGAAUAAGGAUCGGCUAACUCCGUGCCAGCAGCCGCGGUAAUACGGAGGAUCCGAGCGUUAUCCGGAUUUAUUGGGUUUAAAGGGUGCGUAGGCGGCACAUUAAGUCAGUGGUGAAAUACUCAUGCUUAACAUGGGAACUGCCAUUGAUACUGAUGCGCUUGAGUACAGAUGAAGUGGGCGGAAUAUGACAUGUAGCGGUGAAAUGCGUAGAUAUGUCAUAGAACACCGAUCGCGAAGGCAGCUCACUAAGCUGAUACUGACGCUGAUGCACGAAAGCGUGGGGAUCAAACAGGAUUAGAUACCCUGGUAGUCCACGCUGUAAACGAUGAUAACUGGCUGUCGGCGAUAUAGUGCCGGUGGCUGAGCGAAAGUAUUAAGUUAUCCACCUGGGGAGUACGAUCGCAAGGUUGAAACUCAAAGGAAUUGACGGGGGCCCGCACAAGCGGUGGAGCAUGUGGUUUAAUUCGAUGAUACGCGAGGAACCUUACCUGGGCUGGAACUGUCACUGCAAUUAUGGGAAACCAUAAGUUCCUUCGGGACGGUGACGGAGGUGCUGCAUGGUUGUCGUCAGCUCGUGCCGUGAGGUGUCGGAUUAAGUUCCAUAACGAGCGCAACCCUUACUGUCAGUUGCUAACAGGUUAAGCUGAGGACUCUGGCAGAACUGCCGGCGCAAGCCGAGAGGAAGGUGGGGAUGACGUCAAAUCAGCACGGCCCUUAUGUCCAGGGCUACACACGUGCUACAAUGGUCAAUACAGAGGGCAGCUACUAUGCGAAUAGGUGCGAAUCUCGAAAGUUGAUCUCAGUUCGGAUCGGAGUCUGUAACUCGACUCCGUGAAGCUGGAAUCGCUAGUAAUCGCGCAUCAGCCAUGGCGCGGUGAAUACGUUCCCGGGC
rnacentral:rRNA from 1 species